rnacentral:lncRNA from 1 species
AUGYGUACGGGUGACAUGCCGUAGUAAGAGUACGGCUCUGCCGGUGUCGAUUAGCCUUUAGUCAGAAGACAGCAACAGCUGUUUGUGAAACAGUCAAAUCAACAACCAUCAAGACAACCUAGAACUUCAAGGAUUUUGACAAACCGUGAAAURUUGCUCGUGGAAACAACAGAACAGAAGAAUCACUGGCUUAUCUGGUAUGUUUGUUUCUAUAG